rnacentral:rRNA from 1 species
GAUGAACGCUGGCGGCGUGCCUAAUACAUGCAAGUCGAGCGAACAGACGAGGAGCUUGCUCCUCUGACGUUAGCGGCGGACGGGUGAGUAACACGUGGAUAACCUACCUAUAAGACUGGGAUAACUUCGGGAAACCGGAGCUAAUACCGGAUAAUAUAUUGAACCGCAUGGUUCAAUAGUGAAAGACGGUUUUGCUGUCACUUAUAGAUGGAUCCGCGCCGCAUUAGCUAGUUGGUAAGGUAACGGCUUACCAAGGCGACGAUGCGUAGCCGACCUGAGAGGGUGAUCGGCCACACUGGAACUGAGACACGGCCCAGACUCCUACGGGAGGCAGAGGUAGGGAAUCUUCCGCAAUGGGCGAAAGCCUGACGGAGCAACGCCGCGUGGGUGAUGAAGGUCUUCGGAUCGUAAAACGCUGUUAUUGGGGAAAAACAAAUGUGUAAGUAACUAUGCACGUCUUGACGGUACCUAAUCAGAAGGCCACGGCUAACUACGU